CGAGUCAGCCAGACAAUCGCCGGUUUAUUGAAGCCCUUAACCGUCAAUCCGAUAGGAACGACGACCUAGCGGGACAAGUAAACGGGAGGAAAGUCCGGGCUACGCAGGGCAGAGUGCCGGAUAACGUCCGGGAGGCGAGAGCCUACGACCAGUGCAACAGAGAGCAAACCGCCGAUGGCUCGUAAGAGAUCAGGUAAGGGUGAAAGGGUGCGGUAAGAGCGCACCGCGUAAGUGGUAACAUUUUACGGCAGGGUAAACUCCACUCGUAGCAAGACCAAAUAGGAACUCAAUGGGUGGCCCGCUCAGAGUUCGGGUAGGUUGCUUGAGCGUAUGUGUAAAUGUGCGCCUAGAGGAAUGAUUGUCCACGACAGAACCCGGCUUAUCGGCUGACUUAACGA
rnacentral:RNase_P_RNA from 1 species